GAGGCGGUUGUCUAGGAUGCCAGAAUUCGGGGGGCGGCAUUUUGUGCGUUCCCCACGGGGCACGCGGGAGCUUCCUGUUCCACUUCCAUCGCGCCGCCGAAGAAGGACCCUCCGCCGAAAUGCUGCAGGUGACAGCAGCAGUCAUUGAG